UACAGAGGGGGCAAGCGUUGUUCGGAAUUACUGGGCGUAAAGGGCGCGUAGGCGGUCCGAUAAGUCCUGUGUGAAAUCCCUCGGCUCAACUGAGGAACUGCACGGGAGACUGCCGGGCUUGAGUUCGGGAGAGGGAAGCGGAAUUCCGGGUGUAGCGGUGAAAUUCGUAGAUAUUCGGAAGAACACCAGUGGCGAAGGCGACUAACUGGACAUGUAUUGACGCUGAGGUGCGAAAGCGUGGGGAGCAAACAGG
rnacentral:rRNA from 1 species